rnacentral:misc_RNA from 1 species
GAAAUGCGAUAAGUAGUGUGAAUUGCAGAAUUCAGUGAAUCAUCGAAUCUUUGAACGCACAUUGCGCCCUUUGGUAUUCCAAAGGGCAUGCCUGUUCGAGCGUCAUUUGUACCCUCAAGCUUUGCUUGGUGUUGGGCGUCUUGUCUCUAGCUUUGCUGGAGACUCGCCUUAAAGUAAUUGGCGGCCGGCCUACUGGUUUCGGAGCGCAGCACAAGUCGCACUCUCUAUCAGCAAAGGUCUAGCAUCCAUUAAGCCUUUUUUUCAACUUUUGACCUCGGAUCAGGUAGGGAUACCCGCUGAACUUAAGC